UACAGAGGGUGCGAGCGUUGUCCGGAAUCACUGGGCGUAAAGCGCACGUAGGCGGCUUUUUAAGUCAGGGGUGAAAUCCCGGGGCUCAACCCCGGAACUGCCUUUGAAACUGGAGAGCUAGAAUCUUGGAGAGGCGAGUGGAAUUCCGAGUGUAGAGGUGAAAUUCGUAGAUAUUCGGAAGAACACCAGUGGCGAAGGCGACUCGCUGGACAAGUAUUGACGCUGAGGUGCGAAAGCGUGGGGAGCAAACAGGG
rnacentral:rRNA from 1 species